rnacentral:rRNA from 1 species
UAGUCCACGCCGUAAACUAUGAUCACUUGAUAUUGGCUUUAUUGUCAGUGUCUAAGCGAAAGUGUUAAGUGAUCCACCUGGGGAGUACGAUCGCAAGGUUGAAACUCAAAGGAAUUGACGGGGGCCCGCACAAGCGGUGGAGCAUGUGGUUUAAUUCGAUGAUACGCGAGGAACCUUACCAGGGCUUAAAUGCAUAUUGACAGGGCUAGAGAUAGCUUUUCCUUCGGGCAAUUUGCAAGGUGCUGCAUGGUUGUCGUCAGCUCGUGCCGUGAGGUGUCAGGUUAAGUCCUAUAACGAGCGCAACCCCUGUCGUUAGUUGCCAGCGAGUCAUGUCGGGGACUCUAACGAGACUGCCGGUGCAAACCGUGAGGAAGUGGGGAUGACGUCAAAUCAUCACGGCCCUUACGUCCUGGGCCACACACGUGCUACAAUGGUAGGUACAGAGAGCAGCCAUGUCGCAAGGCAGAGCGAAUCUAUAAAACCUAUCACAGUUC